CUACGGGCCGCUCCAGUCGAGAAUCAUUUGCAAUGGGCGCAAGCCUGACAAUGCGACGCCGUGUGAACGAAGAAGGCCCUCGGGUUGUAAAGUUCUUUCGCUUGGGAACAAGAGAAGUUUGUGAAUAACAGGCUAAUUUGAUGGUACCAGGUAAAGAAGCACCGGCUAACUCCGUGCCAGCAGCUGCGGUAAUACGGAGGGUGCAAGCAUUAAUCGGAUUUAUUGGGCGUAAAGGGCGCGUAGGUGGCUGAAUAAGUCGAAUGUUAAAUUCUGGAGCUCAACUCCAGUUCUGCAUUUGAAACUAUUUAGCUUGAGGAUAGGUGGAGAAAACGGAAUUCCACGUGUAGCGGUGAAAUGCGUAGAUAUGUGGAAGAACACCGGUGGCGAAGGCGGUUUUCUAACUUAUUUCCUGACACUGAGGCGCGAAAGCAAGGGGAGCAAACAGGAUUAGAUACCCGUGUAGUC
rnacentral:rRNA from 1 species